AGGCCGCCAGGGGUGAGGAGGUGACGCUGCGGGCUUGGUGGCGGCUGGUUUUUCACACAGGAAUCCUCCUCGCCACCGCUCCCUCGAAGGCCGCCCCCCGCUCCACCCCCAGCACUGGGCGCCCGCGCCUCCCAACUCAGCCCGCCGCCGAGCAGACGGCGCGCCGCGUUAAUUGCUGAGUGCUCGCUUCCUGAUCUGCGUGAUGGCCUCGGAACCGGGCUGCGUGUAGACCUGGGUGACUAUCAGCUCAGCUCCCAAGUGGAGGGCCUCGGAAGACGCUCUGUGCGGCCUACUAACAAGCACGAGACUACUGUGACCUGCUCCGUGCAACACAAUUAGAGGGUCAUUGAUAAUCGGAACCUAUCAAGAAGAGGACGCUGAAAGAAUACUGUAUUAUGUUGAAUGAGGAAUUGAAGGGAAGGAAGGCAUUUAGCAGACUGGAAAAAAACAGCAAGAGGACCCUAAACCUGUCUGAAUUUGCAAGGGUUUAAUAUUAAAAAGGUGACGGUACUUAUUUUAUGUGACUAUAUAUUGUAUGCCCCCACCCCCCCAAAAGCAGAAAUAAGACAAACGGGUAGAAGCUUUAGGAUGGCAGAUUCACAGCAGUUUAAUACGAGAAAGAACUUCUAACAGAACUGGUUGGAAAGGGAACAGGUUGUUUUUUUGUGUAUUAAUGGUGGAAAUCACAGGGAAUUUUCAAAAUGGAUGACCUUUGUGGUAAUGGUGGAGUUUGAAUUCAGUAAGGGUUGAAUUAGAUGACUUUCAAGAUCCUUCCAUUUCUAAAAGUUAUGAUUCUGUGACCCAGAAAGCCUAAUAGUUCUCCGACACCAGAAAGCAUGAAAGCUGGAAACCAGAUUAAAAAAAGAGCAGUCAGCCAAACAGUCAGAAGGUAGGUCAGGUGUACAGUAACAAAUUUAAGAUCUGAUUAUCUUUCAGUCUACCUAUCAUCAUUUAACUCUGGUAGACCAUGAAGUACAACACUCUCAGUGACUUACCACAUCCAUAGGUGCUCUGACUUAUUACAGAUAAAGAUAUCCAUUAUGCAUAAUUAGCUUCUUUAUCUGACUCAAAUCUGAAGCUAAAGAUUAUUCUGGACAUGAUUUCCUGGAUAGAUGGCCAGCUAAGUUGUGUUUCAGAUAGGAGGAUCACUUAAUUAACUAGGCAACACAGGUAUUUUAGUAUAUUAAUCACUUCCCUAGGUAGGCAAGUUCUAAAUCACCCUUUUCUCCUAUAUGAGGACACAUGGAGCUACUGUUUUCUGUUCCCGUGUUACUCUUUAAUCUCUGUCAGUGUUGUACUUUUGAACUUCCACUUUGUAACACUGCACUACACUAAACACUAUAUGUAGCAAGCAUUCUAUACGUUUGUAGAAGAUUUUAGUAAAUAUGUACUUUCAAAUGCUAUAUAACACAUCUGCAACUUGUUUUGCAAACUGGGGGUCUGAAGUCUUUGGACAAGUCUGCAUUCCACCACCUGCCAUAUGUGCUCCUUAACCUGGCUUCCAAUCUCAAAGCUGCAUUCACUUAUUUUAAAUCUUGAGGAGCAGGAUAGGUGUUGACAAUGUGUUACUUAGAAUGUUCCAAGUAUUCCCUAAUCUCUGGGUCAUUCCUGUCAAAACAGGAGUGUGACUACACAGUGACCAGGAUGCAAGCUGAUGAUAUUUUUGCUUCUAAUCUGAGAAAAGAAAUUGCUUUUGUGCAGACUGGUAUCUCUAGGGUGACUUUGUUCUAAAUGCUAAUAUCU
ensembl:lncRNA novel transcript, antisense to MRPS28